CCUACGGGAGGCACCAGUGGGGAAUAUUGCACAAUGGGCGCAAGCCUGAUGCAGCCAUGCCGCGUGUAUGAAGAAGGCCUUCGGGUCGUAAAGUACUUUCAGCGGGGAGGAAGGUGUUGUGGUUAAUAACCACAGCAAUUGACGUUACCCGCAGAAGAAGCACCGGCUAACUCCGUGCCAGCAGCCACGGUAAUACGGAGGGUGCAAGCGUUAACCGGUAUUACUGGGCGUAAAGCGCACGCAGGCGGUCUGUCAAGUCGGAUGUGAAAUCCCCGGGCUCAACCUGGGAACUGCAUUCGAAACUGGCAGGCUAGAGUCUUGUAGAGGGGGGUAGAAUUCCAGGUGUAGCGGUGAAAUGCGUAGAGAUUUGGAGGAAUACCGGUGGCGAAGGCGGCCCCCUGGACAAAGACUGACGCUCAGGUGCGAAAGCGUGGGGAGCAAACAGGAUUAGAUACCCGUGUAGUC
rnacentral:rRNA from 1 species